rnacentral:rRNA from 1 species
AUUACUAAGCGGAGGAAAAGAAACUAACCAGGAUUCCCUCGGUAUCGGCGAGUGAAGCGGGAAGAGCCCAGCGCCGAAUCCCCCACCCCUCGAGGGCGGCGGGAGCUGUGGCGUGAGGGACGAGCCAUGCCCACGUGCUGCUCCGGGCGCCUAGGUCCUCUUGACGGAGGCCGCAUCGCAUCCACAGAGGGUGUCAGGCCCGUGCGGCGCCCGGCGGUCGGGGCGCGGCCAGUCUCCAGAGUCGGGUUGUUUGGGAAUGCAGCCCAAAUGGGGUGGUAAACUCCAUCUAAGGCUAAAUACGGUCGUGAGUCCGAUAGCAGACAAGUACCGUGAGGGAAAGUU